rnacentral:ncRNA from 1 species
AACCGAUUUGGUCUUAGUCCUUAACUUGAUCCAUCUUGCGAAGAUACAUGCAAGCCAAAAGCACAACAGUGAAAUUUUAAAACUUCACUUCUUCUAAAAAGAAGAAGUGAACCCCCCCUCGGUAUCAGACAUUUUUAUAAAAAACCCAUAACACCCAGAAAAUAACCCACACAUGCAGUACUUGAUAUUAUACAAUAAGCAAAAACUUGAUAUAGUCCCAAGAAAAGAAAGGCCGGUAAAUUAUGUGCCAGCCACCGCGGUUAUACAUAAAGCCCUAAUCAAGAAAUCAAACGGUAAAAAGGAGGUUAGAGACUAAUAACAAUAGAAUAGUAAACAACUCAAGCAGUAAUAAGCUCAUCAGAAAAUAAAAUAACCAUAAUUCUACUUAACUCGAAAACCACUGAAGCUCAAAAAUAAACCGGGAUUAGAUACCCCAUUAUAUGAGCCCUAAAAACAAACACCUGAGAACUACGAACUAAAGUUUAAAACUCAAAAGACUUGGCGGUUUUUUAGAUCUCCCUGGAGGAGCUUGCUAUCUAACCGAUAACCCACGAAAAACCUCACCAGCUUUUGAAAAAACAACUUGUAUACCAUCGUCGUCAGUCUACCUCUCAAGAACGUAUACUCAACGAAAAAUCCUCCUAACGCCAGAUCGAGGUGCAGUUAAUAAGCUGGGGAUAAGUGAGCUACAAUAUUUCACCAAACUUAAACAUAAUUAUGGAUAAACCCCAUGAAAAAAAGUAUCAAACAGGAUUCAGCAGUAAUACCUAAAAGAAAAUAGGUAUGAACCAAAAAAGCUCUAAAAAGCGCACACAUCGCCCGUCACUCUCGUCCUCAGAGGAGAAAAGUCGUAACACAGUAGGUGUAUUGGAAAAUGUACCUGGAACAUA